rnacentral:lncRNA from 1 species
GGCUCCUUUAGGAGUUAUUGUCCUAUUUAGUCAAUUUUAAACAAUUUUCAUAAAUUUUGUAAAUUUUUGUAAAUUUUUUCAAAAUAUUUUUCUUUGUCACUUCUGGGCUAAUUUAAUUAUAGACAAAGAUAAUUGUAAGCAGCAAGAUUGUUCAAUAAAGUCAGAUCUACAAACACAUCACCAACACCAAAACACAAUUUUGUCAUGAAUCUUUUAAGUGAGGG